GACGUAGGGCGCGAGCGUUGUCCGGAUUUAUUGGGCGUAAAGAGCUCGUAGGCGGUUUGUCGCGUCGGCCGUGAAAUCUCCACGCUUAACGUGGAGCGUGCGGUCGAUACGGGCAGACUUGAGUUCGGUAGGGGAGACUGGAAUUCCUGGUGUAGCGGUGAAAUGCGCAGAUAUCAGGAGGAACACCGGUGGCGAAGGCGGGUCUCUGGGCCGAUACUGACGCUGAGGAGCGAAAGCGUGGGGAGCGAACAGG
rnacentral:rRNA from 1 species